AGACAGCAGUAGCCGCGGUAAUACGGAGGGUGCAAGCGUUAAUCGGAAUUACUGGGCGUAAAGCGCACGCAGGCGGUUUGUUAAGUCAGAUGUGAAAUCCCCGAGCUUAACUUGGGAACUGCAUUUGAAACUGGCAAGCUAGGGUCUUGUAGAGGGGGGUAGAAUUCCAGGUGUAGCGGUGAAAUGCGUAGAGAUCUGGAGGAAUACCGGUGGCGAAGGCGGCCCCCUGGACAAGGACUGACGCUCAGGUGCGAAAGCGUGGGGAGCAAACAGGAUUAGAUACCCGAGUAGUCCCUGUCUCUUAUAU
rnacentral:rRNA from 1 species